AAAUUGGCGAUUUUCAGAAGAUUGUUGGGACCUUUAUCGAGGUUGUAGAUAAUGUUUCAAAGGAGGUGGAAAAAGAAAAAAUGAAGGCCAUUGGUUCCAGGAAUUUAUUAAAAUCAAUAGCGAAACAAAGA